UUACUUGGAUAACUGUGGUAAUUCUAGAGCUAAUACAUGCAAACAGAGCUCCGACCGGAGACGGAAGGAGCGCUUUUAUUAGAUCAAAACCGAUCGGUGGUGGAUUUAUCCAUCAUCGUAUAACUUGGUGAAUCUGAAUAACUUUAAGCUGAUCGCACGGUCUAGCACCGGCGACGCAUCUUUCAAAUGUCUGCCUUAUCAACUGUCGAUGGUAGGUUCUGCGCCUACCAUGGUUGUAACGGGUAACGGGGAAUCAGGGUUCGAUUCCGGAGAGGGAGCCUGAGAAACGGCUACCACAUCCAAGGAAGGCAGCAGGCGCGCAAAUUACCCACUCCCGGCACGGGGAGGUAGUGACGAAAAAUAACGAUACGGGACUCAUCCGAGGCCCCGUAAUCGGAAUGAGUACACUCUAAACCCUUUAACGAGGAUCAAUUGGAGGGCAAGUCUGGUGCCAGCAGCCGCGGUAAUUCCAGCUCCAAUAGCGUAUAUUAAAGUUGUUGCGGUUAAAAAGCUCGUAGUCGAAUCUGUGUCCCGCACCGCUGGUUCAUCGUUCGCGGUGUUAACUGGCGUGCCGCGGGACGUCCUGCCGGUGGGCUUAGCUCGCAAGGGCGGCCCAAAUCAAUCCUGCCACGGUGCUCUUCAUUGAGUGUCGAGGUGGGCCGGCACGUUUACUUUGAACAAAUUAGAGUGCUUAAAGCAGGCUAAAAUUUCGCCUGAAUACUGUGUGCAUGGAAUAAUGGAAUAGGACCUCGGUUCUAUUUUGUUGGUUUUCGGAACCCCGAGGUAAUGAUUAAUAGG
rnacentral:rRNA from 1 species